rnacentral:snRNA from 8 species
AUACUUACCUGGCAAGAGAGACACGGUGAUCAAGAAGGCGGUUCACCCAGGGCGAGGCUCAGCCAUUGCACUCCGGCUGUGCUGACCCCUGCGAAUUUCCCAAAUGUGGAAAUCUCGAUUGCAUAAUUUCUGGUAGUGGGGGACUGCGUUCGCGCUCUCCCCUG